GACUCUGAGAGAGAUUUGCUUGCAGUACCUGUCACCUCACCCCAGGAAGUCUGCAACUGAUGGAGCUGCCUUGGCAGGUUUCCGGAUCCCUCCUCAUGUGGCACAGGGACCUCUCCAAAGCUGAGCCCUUGUUUGAAUAACAAGUCCUUUGCAGAUAAAGGUGGUAAGAGUUGAAAAGUAGCUACCCUCCCUGCUAGAAUCUUAAAUCAAAUCUUUUAAGUCCUCUAAGCACAAUUUCUUCUUCUGAAGAACAGGACUCAUAAUGGGUUAUUUUGAAGAUUAAACGAGGUAAUGUACAUAAAAACUGUGUAAACAUACCUCU
rnacentral:sRNA from 1 species